UCGUACAGGAGAAGGGAGCAAGGGGGUGUGAACCCUAAACCUCAAGAAAUCAUCAAAUUAAAAGGGAAAUUGAAGGCUAGUUGACUGCAUGAAUUAAGAAUGGUGAUCACCUAAGUAUUUCCUACAUCAAGAUAGGAAACCUAAAUUGACAUGGACUCAAGUAUGGAAGGCUAACGGAUUAAGAGGAAAUGAGGAAGUUAUGCACAAGUUUGGACGCACGAGGUUUAUGAAUGUCGGACUUUCGAAGUGUUGAUAUAGUAAUGAAAUGGAUGAAUGUUAGAAGGAUAAUCGGGUUGAAGUAAACUUAAGCGGUUAGAUUAUGCUAUGGACGUUUUGGUUUAUACGAUAUUUCAUGUUUGGUCGUCACCACCUACAAACGGGUUAGUUGUAUGAAAGUAUAUGUCAUGCCCAUUUAAUUGGAUAAUGGAAUGCGUAAGAGAAAUGAAAGUACGUACACGAAUGAAACACCCUAAACGCGCUUUAGCUACAAAGACGCAGCGGAAUUACGUACCAUAAAAUUUCUUUCAUUAUGAAUAUCUUAACAUACUUGAAGUUCAUUCUUAAGGUGACACAUUUACAAUGAUUACAACAAUCGAACCCAUUUACAGAAUAAAAACAUAAACUAUGUUUACUAAAUUAGCUAUCCAAGCAUUCCCGUACAAUCUAACUUGUGACUCGGUCUUCGAUCUCUACGCCUCGGUAAUCCUUUGGGACUCGUACAACCUACACUUACCAUACAAUUUCAAACGUUAGUACACAUUAUGAAUAUAGCAAUAUUCAUACGUUUUCACUUUCCAUUCCGUAAUCCUUUGCAUUUAGGCAUUUCCGUCUGAGUAUCCACUCCCAUGUGAGACUUCAACAUUCUACCUGCAUUAUUAUACAUUCUCAAGAUACACUGUCAUUAACGUCAAUACUCAAUCGUAUCGAAGACAUACGAGCAUGUUAACUUACUUACUGGCAUACAGAUGUACAUACACACUUGCAUGCAUACAUAAAACGAAUCAUAUCUCUCAUGUGUAUACCCUCACUCACACGUACAUAUGCUUACAUAAAUACAUUCAUCCAUACCUAUUAACUCGUACAUACCUCUUACCUAAUUUCCAUGAAUUACUGCCGUAUCAUAAAUACAAACCUUCGUAUUCAUACUCACUCUUAUUCCUGCUUAUUUAUUUGUUAAACGUAUGGGAAUAAACUUAAAUCUUUACAUGCAUAUCCAAUACUUAGUUCAUUACCCUGCAUACUCACUCCCACAUCCCUACCUUACUCUUCCCAUCAUAAACGCAAUUUAAGUGUCAUUUGGGUAUGUUUCGGGUCUUAAGAAGGAGUUCCAUACUCACCCAUAACUUACAUAACCGUUUGGAAGGGUUGAGGAACAUUAUAAAUGCUUAACGAGGCUUAGAAUGAGUUCACGGGGUCCGAAAUCGAAGGAAAAACAAGAAACUGCAUAAACUACAUAUUUGCAUCAGCCCUCCACCGUAAGCUACGGUGGCUACCGUAGCUUACGGUGGCCCCCAAAACCUUACGGCAGCUUUAAACUGCCUUACGGCAGAAAUAAGGUUCCAGCCCCCACCGUAGCUUACGGUGGCACCGUAAGCUACGGUGGUGCCCAGAUCAGCACCCCACUUUCACACUAAAAUUCGCAUAACUUGCUCGUUUUUGAUCCGUUUUACCCGAUUCUUUUUCCUACGCGACCGUAAUUUAAUUCUCCAUCACAUAGAGU